AUGGCUCAGGAUGAACGCUAGCGGCAGGCUUAACACAUGCAAGUCGAGGGGCAACGCGAGUAGCAAUACUUGGCGGCGACCGGCGCAAGGGUGCGUAACGCGUGAGCAACAUGCCCGUAUCAGGGGGAUAAUCCAGGGAAACUUGGUCUAAUACCCAUAGUAAUUUUGUAAGGCAUCUUAUAAGAUCUAAAGCUUUGGUGGAUACGGAUUGGCUCGCGUGACAUUAGCUGGAUGGUAAGGUAACGGCUUACCAUGGCUAUGAUGUCUAGGGGUUCUGAGAGGAAGGUCCCCCACACUGGAACUGAGACACGGUCCAGACUCCUACGGGAGGCAGCAGUGAGGAAUAUUGGACAAUGGAUGGAAAUCUGAUCCAGCCAUGCCGCGUGAAGGAAGAAAGGUCCUAUGGAUUGUAAACUUCUUUUGUAUGGGAGCAAUAAGGCCUACGUGUAGGUUGAUGAGAGUACCAUACGAAUAAGCACCGGCUAACUCCGUGCCAGCAGCUGC
rnacentral:rRNA from 1 species